rnacentral:lncRNA from 1 species
UGGGCUGGAAUUUGGCCAUUUGGGGGUGAAAUUGGGGAAUUUUCGGGUGAAAUUCAGAAAUUUGGGGAUGAAAUUUGGGGAUUUUGGGAUGAAAUUUGGGGAUUUUGGGGGUGAAAUUUGGGGAUUUUUGGUGGAAUUUGAAGAUUUUGGGGUGAAAUUCAGGGAAUUGGGAUGAAAUGUGGAGAUUUUGAGGUGAAAUGUGGAGAUUUUUGGGGUGACAUUUGGAGAUUUUAGGGUGAAAUUCGGGGAUUUGGGGUGAAAUUUUGGGAUUUUGGGGUGAAAUUUUGGAAUUUUGGGGUGACAUUUUUGGGAUUUUGGGAGAAAUUUGCGGAUUUUAGGUCAAAAUUGGCGGAUUUUGCUCCAAGCACAAAGACACGAAGCCCCCGAGGGUCGUUUUUAAUCCUUUGGGGAGGGGUUUGAAGCCACAGAGGUGCCCCAGAUGCCACCAAGGUGUCCCCAGAUGUCCCCAGGUGCCACCCAGAUGUCCCCAGAUGCCACCCAGGUGUCCCCAGGCACCCCCGAGUGCCACCAAUGUGUCCCCAGAAGCUACCAGGUGUCCCCAGAUGCCACUUGGAUGUCCCCAGGUGCCACCCAGAUGUCCCCAGAUGCCACUCGGAUGUCCUCAAGUGCCACCAAGGUGUCCCCAGAUGCCACCCAGAUGUCCCCAGGUGCCACCCAGAUGUCCCCAGAUGCCACCAAGGUACUCCCAGAUGUCCCCAGGCAUCACCAAGUGCCACCCUGAUGUCCCAAAGUGCCACCCACAUGUCCCCAAGUGCCACCCAGGUGCCCCCAGGUGUCCCCAGGUGCCCCAAAGUGCCACCCAGAUGUCUCCAAGUGCCACCCAGGUACCCCCAGAUGUCCCAAAGUGCCACCCAGAUGUCCUCAGAUGUCCCCAGAUGCCACCAAGGUACCCCCAGAUGCCACCUAGGUGUCCCCAGAUGCCACCAAGGUGACCCCAAGUGUGCCUCCAGGUGUCCCCAAACACCCCCCUGAUGUCCCCAAAUGCCACCCUGCCCGCUGUCACCUGAGCUGUGUCUUGGCCCCGAUGGCCGCGGGCGCUACCCUGAUGUCCCCAAGUGCCACCAAGGUACCCCUAGAUGCCAGCUAGGUGUCCCCACGUGCCACCCAGGUGCCCCCAGGUGUCCCCAGAUGCCACCAGAUGCCACCAAGGUGCCACCCCGAUGUCCCCAAGUGCCACCCACCCCGCUGUCACCUGAGCUGUGUCUCGGCCCCGAUGGGCGCGGGCGCGGGCAGUUUGGAGUCCAGGUUGUAGAAGGUGUCCCCGAGGCGGCGCACGCAGAGCCAGUGGGGGCGGCACAGCGGCAGCGCCAGCGCGCCCAGCCGCACCCGCGAGGGCACGUUCAGCAGCAGCCCCAGCACGUGCGGCAGCGACAGCCGCUCCAGCGGCCUGAGGGGUAAUUAACGGCCUUGCGUUAAUUGGGGCUCGUCUCGUUAAUUGGGGGUCAUGAAGGUUAGGAACGCGGUGGGGGCGGGUGGUUGUGGUGGGCUGGAGGGCGGUCAAACGGGUUUGGAGGGGAUGGAAUUUGGGGCUGGGGGCUCUGGGAGGGUCUAGAUUUGGGUGUGGGGUCCUGGAAGGGGUCUGGAAUUUGGGUCUGGGGUCUCGAGGGUGUGUCCUGAAAUUGGGGAGGGGUCUCAGCGCUGUUUGUCCCAAAAUACUCAAGGAGAAAGGAAAAAUCUGAGAGGUCCCAUAUUGGGUUGGGGGGUCCUAAAUUGGGUCUGGGAUCUCAAAGAGGUCUCAAAUUUGGGUCUGGGGUCUCGGCAGCCCCAGCACGUGCGGCAGCGACAGCCGCUCCAGCGGCCUGCGGGGUAAUUAACGGCCUUCUGUUAAUUGGGGCUCGUCUCGGUAAUUGGGGUCAUGCAGGUUACGAACGCGGC